GGAUCCUGUAAAUCUGGUUCUCAGUAGUUCUUCUAGGGAAAUAGGACGUGUCAGGACUUCAACCUGUUUUGAGUUUAGUUGAGGUAUGACUAUAUUAUUAACCGUUUCCCCCCCCCCAAAAAAGCCCUACUUGAGAUUGUCGUUAGUUCGAUAAUCUAUGUUCAGGAAUUUUUACCCGUACUCGCGGGAUUCCAUGCCCUAGUGAACUGGUCUAUGUUCGUG